GGCCGGUCUCGGCUGGGGGCAGAGCGAGCCCAGCGGGGCGGGCAAGGCCGAGGCGCCGGGAAGGUGGAGGUGCUGGCGGGGCGCAGACGACCCGGGGCUGCGGUCGGCCUGGCCCCUCGCGCCGCUCCCGGCCCUGACCGGCGGAGGCCUCGCAGUCGGAAGAGAUGGCGGCCGCGGGGCCGCUGGCAGCCCCCGCCUCCCCGGAGAGGGGCCGCUUCUCUCCCUCCCGACGGGCCGUACGCGGACCCUGCCGGGCCGCCCCUCUCCCCCAGGGCCGGUGCGAGCGACCCUGCAAACUUGUGCACCUUGGUCUUGAUGCCGGGGUUCUUGUUCCCGAAGCCGAAGAAUGAGCUUCACACACAAGGUAGGAGAGCAAGGUACACGCUUUUAUUUAGAGAUAAAGUGAGAGGACAGAGUUCCCGGCUCUCGCCAGGAGGGGACAGGAGAGUCCAGGGUGGUGCGUUGUCGAGGGGCUUUUAUAGGCAGAUGAGUAUUUUUCCAGAACAGGAAAAAAAGCUUAGGGUUGUGGACUUGUUAAGUGGUCCUAGGAUAUUUACAAUUAACUUGAUACGAGUAACCGCCUGCUCUGUUGAUUUCUCCCCGAGAUACCAGCAUCUUGGUCUGGGGGCAUAUGAAACAAGGCCACCUGCUCAGCCCCCAACGUGGGCUGAGGCAUUGUUUGCUAAAGAGUAAGUUAAGCGCAGUCUUAUCUUUAAGGUGGAAUCCUUCUUGUCUUUUACUGUGUUAUGGCUGGGCUUGCAUGCUAAAUUAGUUUGGCCAAUUUGCAAAAUCACUUCAUCAGAUCUGAAGGAGGAAAGACAGCACAUAGGCCUGGGCCUUUUAAUAUGUUAAAGUGAAUCUUACACAUGAUUAUAAAUGAUUAGCAUAAAACAUGUGCUACUCUUCUUUAUCUGGGGAAUAUUAACUGAUCUCACUGAAGAAAGACUGUAGAGUUUAAUGUCUAAAACAGAGCUUUAGUAGGGGGUUUCCUUGCAUGUAGUUACAUUGCUCUGACUGUAAAGAUCCUGCCUUGCUUUUUCCGGAGGCCCUCACCCUGCUGUGACUACACCCACCGUCCCUUUCUCAGUCUGGCUUCCCCUGAACUUCCGCUCAGCCUGUCCUUCUGCCGUCCUUCUGGCCAAGGAGGGGAAUAGAAGAGGUGGACAGGCUGACUGGUCUGCGGUCUUCAAAUGUGUCAGGAAAGCCCUGUAACCAUUAAAGAGCUACCCAAAAACCUCCCAGCAAGAAAACUCCAGACCCAAAGGCAUAAAGCCAGCAUAAUCAUGAUUCCAAAACCUGCAAACCUCUGAGUUCAGGCUCUUCAUUUGAAAAAAAAACAAAAAACCAGAUACCAGGAAGUGAGAACUGCUUCCUGAUACUUCUUAGGAUUAAGAGAACUUGUAUUAGGUGAAGUGCUUUGGUACCACGGCAAAUGUUGACACUGUCAUGAGCAAACAUUUAUGUUUUCGUCUUUUUAUCUUUUUAUACUAGGUGAUAUAAAAAGGGAAGGGGAAUUUUAAAGGAAACUGUACAUUUUGAUCUUGUGGAAGAUAACUAGUUGAUCAAGAAAUGGGUGAGAUACUCAGGAGGUAGACAUUUCAGUGUUGGUGGGCUCCCCUCUGAGCUGGCUGAUGGACCCCCCCCAGUGACGCAGGGCCUCCGGAAGUGUAUCCCUUUGAAGCCAGAACCCUUUCGGGACAGCUCCCUGUACACCUGGGCCCAUCCUCAUUUCCCAUGUAUCCCUCUCCCUGCCCUUCUGGGAGCUUCGCAGGAAUAAGGAUCUUGGCUCAGCAGACAUGUGCUGUUUCAGAAGCAGAUGACCUUGGGUGACGUAGCUGUGGACCUCACCCAGGAGGAGUGGGGGCUGGUGGGCCCUGCCCCGAGGACUCUGUACCAGGACGUGAUGCUGGAGACCUUUGGGCACCUCAUCACUGUGAGUGAGGCUGUUCGCUAUGCUGACCUGCUUCCCAUGCGUCCCAGCACAGUGGGUUUUACUCGGUUGGGAGUGUGGGGUUACUGACCCUAAAGAUUCCUUCUCACCGCAACCUCACAGCCUGAUCUCUCACCUGGUCAGGGCCUUGGGGACCCCAGCCAGACAUCAUUGCCCAGCUGGAACUGGGAGUGGAACCACGAAUGAUGGACAGAGGACUCUCCCCAGAUUCCUACCCAGAAUGAAAGAACAGACCUAAAAGCCAUUGCCAUCAACACAGGCCAUUUCUGAAAUCACAGUGGAGAGGAAGCCUAUGAAUGUGAUGAAUGUGGAAAGACUUUCUGGCAGAACCUCCACCUUGCACCAGAGACUCACACUGGUGAGAAACCUUAUAAAUGUAAUAAAUGUGGAAAAUCUUUCAGCCGCCAAAAUUCUCACCUUAAUGUACACCACAGAACUCAUACUGGAGAGAAACCCUAUAAAUGUGAUGAAUGUGGAAGAUCCUUCAGUGGAAUGUCUAAUCUUAAUGUGCAUAAGAGAACACAUACUGGAGAAAAAACCUAAAAUAUAAUGAAUGUGGAAAAGCCUUUAGUGACUGCUCCUGAUAUACACAACAUGAAAGGACGCAUACUGGGGAGAAACCAUACGGAUGUAACGAAUGUGGGAAAGCGUUCAGCCACAGCUCUCAUCUUACAGUUCACAAGAGAAUCCAUACUGGUGAAAAAUCAUCUAAGUUUAAUGAAUGUGGAAAAACUUUGUUUCCAUUUAUUCUUCACCCAGCAUAAGAGAACACACACUAGAGAAAAACCAUAUAAAUACCAUCAGUGUGGAAAAGCUUUCAGUCAAGGUUCUAACUUUAUUGGGCACCAAAGAACUCAUACCAAAGGGAAAAAACUACAUCUUCAUUUUAAUAUAUAAAAGCUCUGUAAGUAUGUUUAAAGUUUUGUCCUAGAGAAGGGCUGAGCCUGGGUGGCAUUUGAUAUCUAGAAAAAUUGCCAAUGAGAAAUAAUGAGAUCAAAACUACCUUCAGCACUAAUUAAUGUAAUCAACCUGUGUGGGAAAGGCUAUUGCUGAGAGGUCAAAAUAGGUUGAUGAUACUUGAUUAAAUGACUGAAUGUACUAAAGAGCCAGAGUGCCAUUAUGUAUUCAUUGUUCCCCAGUGGUAGAGAGUUGGGCUUCUUCAGUUUGUUUCACAAAGUCCCUCUGAAGUGUAAUUAUGAACAAUGCAUAGAAAUAUGGAAAACAUCUAUAAUACGUAGUGAAACAUGUAUACCUGUUCAGACUGUGUUGUGUUAUGUACGCAUUUGAACAAGGGUUUAGAAGAAGACACAGAAAUAAUGUAGCUAAUUAAUAAGAGUUUUGGGAUAUUAUAUGACUUUCCUUUUUUUAACAUUUCAAAAUUGCCGUAAUUUUACAAUAAAUAAAAAGAUGAUCAAAAGUAAGUCUGAAUUACUCGAAAUGGAUAUACUAAGGUAGCAAAAACAAAUGGAAAUAAAUUCAGUGGUCAACACAAGAAGUUAGAAAAAUUAUAAUCAAAACAGAAAGAAGAAUGUAAUAAAGAUGAAAGCCGAAAAUAAAUGUUAAAAGGGGACUCUGAGAAAAACAAACUGGGGUAAGUUCCAAACUACCAUGAUCCAGAAAAAUUACAUAAAUUUGUAACACUGGGAAUGAAAAAGGAAAUAAACAUAGAGAAAAUAAUAUCAAAAGGUUGUAUAUUUUUGGGGUAAAACACUUAAAAACUUAGAUGAAAAAGACAUUUUUCCAAGAAAAUAUAACCCUGGAAAGCAUAAUACUGACUGAAGAAGACACUGAAAACCUAAACAGACCAAAUGUUCUGGAUUAAAUUGAAAAAGUCCUCAAAGAAUUAUCUCACAAAAAGUAUUUUACCAGAGCUAAACUGUUUUACCUGUGAAUUAUUUCCACCCUUUAAGAAAUAGAAAACUCUUUGAUACACAACUGUGUUAAGCUGAACACUUAACUCUUUAAUGAUACCAAUAUGUUAAAGCUGAAAGGGAGCAAAAUUAAAAGCCAGUGUCUGUCAGAACUAUUGAUGCAAAGGAGAUACUGUCAGUAAAGAUAGUAUAGAACACCUGGAUUUAGGAAUAUUCACUCCAGGAGUCAGUGUGUUUAGUAUUAGGAAAUAUACAACUGUAAUGCCCCAUUUUAAUCAAGCAGUGGAGAAAAACCAGUCAUCUCAGUGGUUAAUUAGAAAGAAUUUAUUGGUUAUUUCAGGGAAAAAGAAACCCCUCAUAACAUUAAAAUUUUUUUAUAAUAUCAGGCAGAGCCUCUGACAACAGUGGGUUGAUGGGACAGAACCCCAACGGGGUGGGAAGAAUUCUGUGUAUAAAAGCACAUCUUGAGAAUCCCUUUAGCCUAGAAUUUUGCUGAGAAUUCAGAGCACUGGAAUGCUCAUAUUUUAGGUGUGCCAUUGAAUCUUUUUUGACAAUGGGUAUCAAGACAUAGAACAUUUCCAUUACCCCAGAAACUUUUCUUGUCCCUUACCAGACAAUUCUGUAUAUCUAAAAUCAAAGGGUAAUUUCUGUCACCAUGGGUUAUUUCUGCUGACCUUAGAAUUUCAUAAGGUGGGAUCAUAAUAUAUUUAAUGCAUUUUUGUCUGCUGCUUUUCCUCAGCAAAAUACUUUUGAGAUUUAUUGUCACUGAAUGGACCAAUAAUUCAUUCAUUUUUAUUGCUGGGUAGUAUUCCACUAUAUGAAUAUAGAAUGAUGUACUCAUUCUCGGGUUGAUAGAAAUCUGGGCUGUUUCCAGUGUAGUUAUUAUGAGUAAAGCUGCUAUGAACAUAUUUAUCAAAGUUUGCUUUUUCAUUUUUCUUGAAUAAAUUCCUAGAAGUGAAACAGCUGAAUUAUAGAAUAGAUGUAUGCUUAGCUUUUUAAGAAACUGGUAAUAUCAAAGUGAUAAUAGUUUAUGUAAAUAUCAGCUAUGUACGGGAAUUCCUGCUCCUCCACAUCACUACAUUUGGUACUGUCCAUCUUUUUCAUUUUGGUCAUUCUAGUGAGUGAAUAAAGAUAUCUUAUUGUGGUGUGAUGACUAAUGACACGGAACACUUCUUCAUGUGCUCAUUGGCUGCUUGGCCUGUCUUUAUGAAACUUUUAUUCAUAUGUCUUGCCCAAUUUUUUGUUGGGUUGUUUGUCUUUUUUAUUAUUGAGCUGUAGGAGUUGUGUAUAUAUUCUGGAUUUUAUAUAUGUGUGUGUAUAUAUAUAUAUAUAUCUUUGUAUAUGUACAUAUUGUGAACAUUUUAUAAACAAAAUUUUAGCAAAUUGAGUCCAAUAAUAAAAUAACUUAAAAGCA